AGAGUUUGAUCCUGGCUCAGGACGAACGCUGGCGGCGUGCUUAACACAUGCAAGUCGAACGGUGAACCUGCUUCGGUGGGGGAUCAGUGGCGAACGGGUGAGUAACACGUGGGCAACCUGCCCUCAGCUCUGGGAUAACUCCAAGAAAUUGGGGCUAAUACCGGAUAUGACUGCUGACCGCAUGGUCUGGUGGUGGAAAGAUUUAUCGGCUGGGGAUGGGCCCGCGGCCUAUCAGCUUGUUGGUGGGGUCACGGCCUACCAAGGCGACGACGGGUAGCCGGCCUGAGAGGGUGACCGGCCACACUGGGACUGAGACACGGCCCAGACUCCUACGGGAGGCAGCAGUGGGGAAUAUUGCGCAAUGGGCGAAAGCCUGACGCAGCGACGCCGCGUGGGGGAUGACGGCCUUCGGGUUGUAAACCUCUUUCAGCAGGGACGAAGCGAAAGUGACGGUACCUGCAGAAGAAGCACCGGCCAACUACGUGCCAGCAGCCGCGGUAAUACGUAGGGUGCAAGCGUUGUCCGGAAUUAUUGGGCGUAAAGAGCUCGUAGGCGGUUUGUUGCGUCGGCUGUGAAAUCCCGAGGCUCAACCUCGGGUCUGCAGUCGAUACGAGCAAACUAGAGUGUUGCAGGGGAGACUGGAAUUCCUGGUGUAGCGGUGAAAUGCGCAGAUAUCAGGAGGAACACCGGUGGCGAAGGCGGGUCUCUGGGCAAUAACUGACGCUGAGGAGCGAAAGCGUGGGGAGCGAACAGGAUUAGAUACCCUAGUAGUCC
rnacentral:rRNA from 1 species